UUCAUUAGAUCCAGUCAACAUUAAUUAUUUCUUGAGUGGAAUCUGAAAGGUACAAAGCAGCUUUUUUCUAUCCAGUGUUCAUUUUCCAGAUUCCAUUUGACUAUGCAUUAAUGAGAUCACACUGCAGAGAACGAAACGUGAACCAACCCACUGUGCAAGUUUGCUAAUCCUCUACUCACUACUCGCUGAAACUAUCAGAAAGGUUAGGCCUUCCACCUUCAUAAUGAAAAAUAGGCACGAAAUGAAGGAAACCCAUAUUUAAAGAAAGAAAAACUAGAAUAUUAGAAGCCUUCUGAAAAACUUGAACAAUUGGGGAAGGCUGGAGCGCCCUGCAGGAUGGUGUUAUUGAGAGGGGUUCCAAAGCAGGGGGUAUUUCUGGUGCUAGUUUCUGUAAAGCAAGAGUGAAACAGGGAUACACGCUGCAGAUUCCAGACCAGAAGGGUUGCAAGGCACAGGCAAAUAUGUUGGUCCAAGUUCUUCAAGCAAAGAAAGGAUUAUUGUCGCUGCUUCUGACCAGGUGAAGACCGCCUGGCUGAAAUACAGCCCAAAUGUCACCUGCAGCAAGGCAGGGCUCGUGCCUGGCCACCUACACAAGUAGCGAGGAGAGUCCAAAGUGAAUUUGCUGGGUUUGUACAAAUACACAUUCCCCGUACGGCACAGAGGGGACCCUCUGCAUGUGCUCGUUGCCGCCACACUGGUGGAGACAAGAUCCACCCGACAAGCAAUUAGUAGAAGCUCAGCUUGGUUCAUUUUAUGGCUUCGAGGGCAAGUUACAAACCAGAGGGCAACAACAUCAGGGAAAAACCAACCCAAACCCAAGCCAAUUUCCCACCCCCACACAUGCCCCUGGUUUGGAGAGCAAGUAUAUUUGUCAUUUGGGAUUACAGGCUUUGAAGGAAUCAGGUUUGCCAACCCGAUGUGUUUCGUUUGCUCACUUAGAGUGUCCCUCGCGAGAGGAGCAACAACCGAACAAACACACAGAACAGCUGUGUUUGCAUUUAAACAAACAUUAAUUGAUGGAAGUAAUGAGUAACCUCAAAAAUAGUUUAGAAAGUUCAUAGCAUCCUCCAAAUAUUUGUAGACUAUUCGAAUUUAACUCAUUUAAUUACGUAUGUAAUCUUUUAUUGCAACAGUGUCUAAAAGCAAGGAGGGGAAGCGGCACCAUGUUUGUACAUCUGAGUAUAACAGACAGAAGUAAAAGAUUAAAUCCAGGUUCAAUACUUCGAAAAGUUUCUUGACAGUAAAUCUACCUUCAGCCUCAAGUUUCCAGAGGACACAGUUAAGUUACACACUUCUGCUCUUUAAAAAAAAAAAAAAAAAAAGAGGAAAAAAUAUUCUAGAAGUAACCAAACAGCUGUGUCUCUGGCUUACUCCACUACUCCACCUCCUGCAACUGUACUGAUACAACCCGUAGAUAUAUGAGAAGAAGUUAGUAUUUACAGCAUCUUCUCUUUUGAGAAAGACAACAAGUCCUAACCGAUAGCUUAGGGAAGGCACAUGGACACUGCCUGGAGCCCCAGGCACGGUGGAGGAACCCCAGCACCCAUUGCUAAGGAAUGAAUCCCGCUGAGGUAACCUCUACAACCAGUUCUUGGAGUCACGAAAGAUGCAGCUUACCUCCUGUCCCUGGGCUGCCCUGGCUGGAAAUAACGCACAUAUUAUCGAUCGCACUCAGCACAAGCAGUUGUCUACUGCAGCAGUUCCUAAACCAGGAGCUAAGCCGAUGCAACCCAAACCCAACCCACUGAAUUCCAAGAGAACCCUCACAUGCAGAAAUCAUAUCACACCUCCCUAAACCCAAAAGUGAGGUUGCCACCGAAAGGAUGAGGACUCUUGCUCCACGGCACUGAAGUCACGUGCAAUUUGGUGUUAACCUUCUGCAUCCUAAGCGAAGCUAGCGCAAGGAGUCACUAGGCAAUGUGUCAGCACUCAAGGAAUUUAUGAACUGUAUAGUUGUGAACGAUUAAAAACAACCCCCCUCUCUGAAAAACCUCAAUUUGUGUCAGGGACUUGAGACUCAUUUCUUGGGGUCAUUAGGGCAACCGGCAGCAUUAGUGCACAAAUUCGAGGCUUCUCCGCUAGCAAAGUUAAGGGUCCUGCUGAGAAACUUGUUUCAUGCACCGUAUUGUUGAAAAGCUUUUAAAAUCUGCAGCCUUUUAAGAAAGACGGGGGGAAAUGUAUUCCGUAUUUAUGUAAAGGAUUAGGGCAAUGUGUAAUGGAAGAGCAGCUCGUAGCGGGUGACUGUGCGGUCCCUGCGCGCCCGGCGGGAGGUUCCUGUGCUCAGACGGGCAGCCAAGCCUCCAGGUACGUCGGCGCUGUUUCAGGAUAUACAUUUUUCACUUCUGGAGAAGCUAAACCGAUCCCAAUUUCUGAUCACAAACUCAGAAAAUACACAAAAAGCACCGGAUACAAUUUGUCAGGUGAAAUUAAACAGUUUUGAGGCCACAGAUCCCAAAGGUUAAAGCUAAAAGCACGAUCUACAGCUACUUAUGCUGCUGAGAGCGCUGAUCUCACACAGCAACCAUGAGAUUACCGUAGGCAGCACGCCGAAGCCGUUCAGAGGCUAGUUGGAUAUUUUUCAGUUUUCAAUUAUUUCUCACACACAGUUUUCAAACCCAUACUUCGCCACGUGAAACAUUUUGCCUUAGUAAAUUAAAGCUGGAAACCAUGCCAGGCUUUGUCUUAAUCGCAAGAAUAUAUUCUUCAGAUCAAAAUCACACGAUCAAAGGGUCAUUUUUAUUCUUUAACCAUUACUUUAGGAACGGCUGGUCAUUGAACCAGGCACCAGCCACAGCACUUCUCCCCUGCAGCCAGCACCUCAACCAACGAGCCGGCUGAUACCACAAACGCUGCGGCUUGCGCCCCGCGCAAACGGGGAUCUCUGGCGCUUAGCAGCCCUCGCAGCCAUGCCAAAACAGUUUGCCUAGCCACAAAAAAACAACACAACUAUUGAGUAACGCGCUGCCUUCCUUUCAGUACUCUCACAUCCCGUUUUUAAGGUGCUUUUCUCCGUUUUUCCUUUAAGUUUCCCUACACCGUUUAUUUAGUUUAAUGAUUUUGCCAAGGAACAAACCACCCAGCAGGUACAGCGAGGGGGGGUGUGUGUGUCUGUAGUUUCGCUGGAAUAUGUCCCCACAGAGACCUGCAGGGCCCCAGGAAGGACCAUGACAAGGAGCAGAAACGAUCCUUGAUGGCUCCCUUCCCACAGAGCAUGCCUCACGCUGCUGAAGCAUCUCCUAGACUGUCUCAAAGCACAACUUUUGUCCUAGAUAAAAUCUAUUUUUAGAAAAAGAAACCCUGUAAAAUAUCUGAGAUGGAGAAAGAAUGAAGUAUGCCUCUCGCUAAAUACUUUUAUCUUUGAUUUGUGAUCUGUGGCCAGAUAUACGAACAAAGGAAAAAUAUACCAUUUUUCCCAUUAAAAAAUGUGGCUGCACCAGAGAUUCCAUACCACGUUAGAAUUCCAAAGAGGAAAGACAUUCAGAGAUUAGCAAUAUACACCUCUCUCUUUGUACCAACAAACUGCAACCGGUUAGAUUAAUGACAAAAGUAGCUUUAGCGAGGGCUAACAUGAAACAGGAAAAGUGUUUCCUUCCUCUGGUUCCCGAGGGCUGACUUCCUUCAUGAGGCGGCAUGUCUUCUGUACGGCUGGCCAUGGAAGCAGCUCCCCUGCCCUGGCCGCACCGCACAGCCAUCCCGGCAGAACACGCCCUGGGAGGAGGGGGGAGAAAAGGAAAAACUAAAAAAAAAAAAAAAUUAAAAGAAGAAAAUAGAACAUGCAAAUUCACCCUGGCCCCUGCAGGAAGAGAACAAGGGAAUGAUGACUUCCACUAGGCUCUGGUCACUAGAAACUAUUUUAGUAUUCAUGGUUUUUUCCUGCAGAGAUGGAGCCACCAAGAGGUUUGACACGUGGGAGACGCAGACUCAGCGUUGGGGUUAAGGGAGUUCAUGGCGCUGCCCUUGGGUUGGACUCCAGCGAGUCUGGCAGCCUGGACGAACCGGUCUGCAGGCGGGCAGCGAUGUCUAAGGGCAGCCAAAGAGGACCAGCAGUUUCCAGGGCCGGACCCAAGUGCACUGCGGCGCAGGGUCACAUCACCACGGCGGCAGCACCGCACGCAGCUGCACCCCGGGAUCACAGGCAGGGCUUUGGGUACAGGUAGGAGUAUCACUGUCCACAUUCUUUAUUAGUUAACGCUCAACGCUUGCCUUGAGGAUGAAAGAAGUUGCCUAAUAUGCGGAUCCAAAUAUCGGGGUUAUCAUGGAAUAUCAUCUGUGUUCAAUGGUUGUCUCAACUGAUAGACUCCUACAGCACAAUACACAGAACAUAUAGAUUUUUUCAUAUUAAUUUCUCUUUCUAAUUCAUUUUUUUCAAGUGUUGCAGUUGCAUCACGAACGUGACAUCAAACAACUUGUUCAGGCAGCCCUUUAAGCCAUUAAGCAUAAGACAACAGGCCUGGGUUUUAUUUUAAAUUCUUACCCCUAGGAACAACCCAAGCAGCAACAAGGGUAUGAUCCUGAGAGGCGAAGUUGUACGAUAUCGGACUAGACCACCCAGAUGCUUAAAAUUAAAAUACUUGGAGAUAUAUCAGACCAUAAUCCUGCUAAGGUCACACAGCAGGUAAGGUGUGGAGGUGGCUGCUCUCAAAAUUCUUUGCAAAACCAGGAGGAAUUAGCAACAAUUAGCAGCAGUCCUUACUGUCAAACAGCAGACCACGUUUUCUUUCUGGCCAGCAGCUGGCUCGUUAGUAUUUGUAAAGUAUAGCGAGAUCUACCAGCAGAAAGCGUGAGGGGGGGAAGCACAUCACCACCCACGCAUUACACAGACCUGCGUUAAUGUGACUCCUUUGAAACCUAGUCUGAAUUAAGAACUACAUAAAACUUUGAUGUAAAGCAAAUAAUCGUUCCGCUCCAAACACAAGCUGGUUUUGUGCUUUGAAGAUGCGUGGCAGUAAAGAGAGGGAAGUCACAAAUGAUUUCCAUGGGAAACAUAUGACUCCGCAGUACUCCUGGCGUUGCUCAGGCAUCUGCUCCUGGGUCUUCUGAUUACAUUGUGAAAGGAUGUGAAACCUCAGAAGUACAAUUUCUUGUAUAUUUUUACGUGUCAUGAGCACAAUGAAUGCGAUUGCUCCCAGGGGCCAGCCACAGAGCAUGCUUGUUGCUGGAAUCGGAAUGCACUGGACUCAGGGUUUGAUCUAUUAAAAUAGACUAUUUACAGCUAAGGUUUCCUUUUUAAAGAAACUUCCCCUUCUGAAAUCUCAAUUUUUGUGUACAUUUAGAGUUGGAUAGUACACGUAUGCUUACAUGAGGAUGCACCAUCACGCCUGGUGCACAUAUUAUGGGUGUAGUACUGAACAGUAUAACCCAUUUUCCCUCAAACAUGUAGUUCUCCACCAGAACUUAGCUGAGGAGCCCAACUUCCCUGUUUCAAGAGGCUGGAGUAUUUGCAGGACUUAUAAAAAAAAAAAAAACACCCUGCAUUUCUGAUGCUAUAGUAAGUAAAUUGAAUAAAAAAUAACUUUCAUUCACCAAAAGGCAGGAACAACCCCUGAUGGACUAACUUCAGCAGAUGACAUGUAAGAAAACACAUUCUUAGAGCUUUACAGGCAGACAGAUUAUGUGCUUUUAUUUACCUUACUGGGUUUUAUCCUGUUCUACUUAAGUUUUCAUCCUGCACUUCGCGAAGUGCCUGGGCACCUUGGCAAGCCCUCCUGCUGGGUGCCCCUUCGCAGCCCGCAGCCGCUUUGUCCUUACCUCCUGCCCGCCGCCCCCCCCCCCCCCCCCCCCCCCCUUUCUGGCGAGCGUCCGUACAGCGUGACAAAUAACUUCUGACCCACCAUAUGAAUUCUACAAAACCACUUUUUAAUUAAAAUGUUAUUUGAGAAUCCCUUCUUAUCCUAGCAUCUGAAAUUACUUGAAACUAAUAUUACACAUAUAUUUGUAACUCAUAUUUACCUGAAGUUUUAAGCUUCUUUUUGUCGUUUUUGUUUGUUUGUUUGUGUGGGGUCUUUUUGGUUUGUUUAGGGGAUUUUUUUGUUUGUUGUGUUUUUGGGGGGUGGUUUUAUUUUAAUUUCUAGUUUGCAUUAAUUAAGAAAAACCCCAACAAAGUAACUUCUCUAAACUAGGGCAAACAAAAGCUAGGGGUUCAUUCCAGACCACAUGCAAGGUGAAAGAGCACAUUAGCUCUUUUCAAGACAAAAAUAAAGAUCAUGUGAAGCAUGUGCCAACUUUCCAUAGAUAACUAAUAGACAGCAAUUUGACUUCCUAAUUGCAUUUCUGUUUUUCCAAGGGCAGAGGAAAGAGAAGAGUUUCAAGGAAAUGAAACUCCCCAAUUACAAGUAUCAGCAUGAUUAUAUUUGCUCUAUCUGUGCUGAGAAACAUGAUUUUUUCUUUCUAAGACCAGAAAUAAUGCAGAAAUAAGGCAGAUGUUAUACCAAGCGAUCCUGAGUUAAGGGUGCCGCAUGAAUUCUCUGGUUCACGUAGACAAUGUUGUGGGGUUGACAGACCCUCGUACCCAGAGGCAUAGUGACCCUCCUGAUGGUGACAGGGAGGGGAGCAUCCCGGCUAGUCGCAGCUUCUGAGCAGCGGCGAGCAGAUGGAGCUGCCCUCCAGCACGCUGUUGCUUCCCCAGCACUGCCUGCGCAGAAGGUGUGUUUCAUGGCUCGGGUGAAGUUUGCCGUGUUAAAUUAAGCAGACUCGGUACACUGCAGAUGGUGUUUUAUACAUCACGUGCCUCACAUCCACAUCUCUUCGAUGUGCUGAGAAAUGUUUUACUGUACACCGCAUCUCUCUUUAAGGAAAUAUUUCCACUACUUUGGCAAUAAAUGAGCGUUUGAAACCUCACAAAUUAUCAUGAAGACUACUGAUUUUCCAUCAAAAGCAACUCAAAAAUACACUAUUUUUUAUUCCUCCAGUACUAGACACGCUGUGACAGGGAUGCGGCACGAGAACGGAGCCCUGUGUCACAGUCCAUUUAGAGAUGCAGUGCUCCAGGGAGGAUGGGUGGGGGAAAUGCCGACGCGGACAGGAGCUCUGAGCCGUUCCUUAACGAAGCCUUUCGAAGCGCUCCCACUCUUUGGAAGCUCAGGAACAUGCUCAGCCUGGGAUAUCAAGCUAAAGAUGAUCAGCCAGGCUGAAUGGUAGAGUCACCUUUAAAGCUGGUUGUCUGCUAGUUCAUAGAGAACCUUUGUAUUCACCCUGUCAGAGAGCAGGACAGCUGAAGAUUCCACCGUGUUAGUAGUUAAGCAGAAGUUUUCCAGAAUCUGACCAUUUUUGGUUUUCUGCAAUGGGUGAUGAACAACAAUCCAUGGGCAAAACAUGAGAGCUUCUCUUAGAGUGCUGGUUAUUGCAGAUAGGGUUGGGGUUUUUUGUGUGUGUGCCCACUCCUACACCUCGGCCAGCCAACAGAACCUAGGCUUUUUUGAAAAACUUCCUCCAUGCAUAUUUUUCACUUGUAGUUUCUCAGCUUAAAGCGCAUAAUUUUCCUGGCAUCUGUUAAACUCAGGAAACAAACCCAAUAAUGAGCGCUGUUACAGGCAAAGGGAGAAGUAAUUGAGCUGCCAUGCCAAUAGUUCAUAAAGCUUAAAUCAUUCCAGCAACUGCUCCAUAUGGUUCCUUGAAUGAAGCCUAACUUAAAAGAGAAGCUUGAACUUGCAAAAAAAAAAAAAAAAAAAAAUUUAACAAAUCCUAACAAACUGAUUAUUACAAUUCUACCUCAAAGCACCACAUUGCUUCCUCUUUCAGAGAUAGGUUACUGCGUUCUGCAACAGUGCUCCGUGACUCGUAAUCAGAGUUCAGGUUCAGCGAUUUAAUGCAAUUCAAAAAUCUAUACUAGCCGUGAUAAAGCCGUCUCGGAGCAGACGGCACACCUUUGCUGAUCCUGAGAGCAGAACUCCCGCUCAGGGCAGCAAAGAAUCAAAGUCUGCAGUCGGCAAAGUGGACUGUGAUUCUGUGAGCAGCUGUAAUUGUCAUUCUGAUAAUACUUUACUAGUAAGAGCAGCAAUGCUUUAGUUCCUUCUCAUUCCCGAGGGCAGCAGCCCACGCAGGGAGUUGAUUUGUGUCAAGUGCUUGCCACAAGAAUUUAAAGUCAAAGUUUACCUUGAAAAAUAAAGGUUUAGGCUUCAAAUCGAUAGCCUUACCAGAUCUGUGGCACCCAACCUUUAUGUUUAUAUCCUUCUCAUUCUAAACAUUUCCAGAAUCUGAAAUGAAAGAUGAGUGGUAAAGGCAACGUUGUAUUAACUUUUAAAUGAUGGAAGGUCCUGUCCAGAUUUCUCUCUGAUUUCAUUAAACAGUGCUUAAUGAAAAUCACAGGUGAAGUGAUUUCAGAGCCUGCUUUAGAAGGGUGUUUGGCUCUCCGGGCACAUGGAACCACCGGCAUGCGCGAUUUGAGCAGUAUAUUAUUUUAUAUAUUAGAAGAACAAAGCUUGAACGGGUAGGAGCAAGUCCUGCCUCCGUCCAGAAGCACAAUGUGUGUUGGUAAGGGACUUUCUUGCAUAUAGGGGAAAAAAACCCAAAUCCAAACAACAAGACCAACAAACCACCAGACACAAAGAAAAGGCUGUCACCACCUAGGAACUUCACGAGCACCUUUGCUAAAAGAAUCUAAAACUAAGUGCAAGCUUUUGCAAAACCGUAACCUUUACCAGUGCCUUGGAUUGCCAGAGAUUUCUGUUUAACAGAAGGAUCUGCCCAAAGUGUUGGGAACUUCUAGUGAAAUUUCAGUGCUUUAGUAAUUUCCUCAAGGACCAAACACAGCAGUGUCAAGAGCUGAUUUUAGGGUGGGUUUUCUUCCCCCGCACCAAAAAAAAAAAAAAAAAAAAAAAAAAAAAAAGGAAAGAUACAGGUAGAAUGCCAGACGUCCUCUGUCAGCUUCUCAAAGACUAAAACAAGGAGACAUUGGAACCGGCCAUGGCACGGCUCCAGCGGCGGUAGGAGGAAAGCUUGGGCUGCCAAGAAUCCCAGCGAUGGAGCGCAGAGUGCUGAACUUUGCCUUACAUAGCGGCUGACAAGCCCAGAGGUCUGCAAGGCAUUCAUAUUUUCAUUUAGCUUCACUUGCUUACAAAAAUGUAAACUGUGGGAAUCCAGGGGGGGAAAAAGAGGGGGGAAAAAAAAGCAGCUUCCAUCGUCAGUUACUAAUUCAUACUGCGUUAAGGCAGCAGGCACAGGCCAGCUUUCGCUGGGGUAUCCAGCUACUCCAGAUUUCUUUUAACGUACCUUCUGAUAAACACUUUUCCCCCUGUAUUGACUGGUUAGGUCAAGAGGUGAGUAAAGGCACCCUAAGGGCCCUACUUUGCCAGCAAUAGCCAAGGGAAAACCUCCCGUGACAUGCCUCACAUUUGCAUUUCACUGCCAAAGUGUUUAAUCCUGCCCCUGGACAGCUGAGUGAACAAAUUCCCAAACCCUUCCACAGCCAUUUUCUUAGGUUACCUUUGCCAAAGGGCAACGGAUUCAUUCUUGGAGGGGUUUUAUUGUCUUGAUUCUUUGGCUUGUUGCUAUGCUGGUGCCUUGCUGUGGCAUCAUGCUCAUUCUUACCGGUUCAUUUUCAUACACCUGGUACCCUCCAAAGCACAAGUCAGCAGGCUGGGGCUAGGGUGUUAACUAGCUUUGUUGUGAAUUUGGUUUAAAUCAGAACAGCUUCAACUAAAAUAAAUAGAUUUUCCUCUUCACUUCAGUGAAAAAAAGCAAACAAGUGAGUUGUUCAGGUUUGACAUUUAAAAACAUCUGAAUGUUGCACUUCGCAGAGUUACUUUUGUUUAGAGCAUGUUGCUUUUUCAGUCAUGCUUUGGAUAAGGCCCAAUAAUUUGGCUUUCCCAAAAUAUAUUUUGGAGCACAUGUUCUUUUGUUGUUGAUUUUUUGCAGGUUUUGCCAAGAAUGUUCAAAUGUUUGAGGCUGAGCAAGAUCCACGGUUGUUUUUUUCCCCCCUCCCUUCUCAAGAAAUCUGUUUCCCCAGUUCAGUCACAACUGAUCUCUAGUUUUAUUGCCCAGGUGGAAACUUCAAUUCUAGAUCACGGACAGAGUUUGCAAAGGCUUUCAGGUGCCUCACUCCCAUAUGAACAACAGCAACCACUAAACUCCACGGAGAGCUGUGCUGGUAUUUCAUGCUUUCUCAGCAAGCACUGUGCUAUCAGGUCAGAUUCUUUCCACCUCUCAUUCCCUGCCCCUCCCUGCAAAGGAAAUACCAAGAAAUUGUUCUCUGGAGGAACACGUUCGAUUUCAGGGACACUGGAAGUUGCCCUGUUACAACCCCACUAAUCUUCAUGCCCCUCAGAAGACAAAUGAGCUGGGCAGUCCCUUGGCAGGGUGGCUGCUGCAGGGAGCUGGGAGGCCACUUGCUGGACCCUGGCCACCCCCUAGCUCUGGAGGCUGCAGCAGCUCCCAGGGGAGCAUCUUACACACGGGCUUUCCCUCUCCCGGCGAGGGAUGGGCUGGAUGUGUCCAGGGGCGUCGGAUGUGCUGCAUCCUAUUCUCUGCCUGAAGAUUGAGGGGGAGCUGUGAAAGCUGGCUUUAUGGGACAAGGGGGCUGCUGUAGUAAGGGAACCCAAGUGCCUUCCCACAGUAAAGCACCUAUUCAGGGUUCCUGCUGGGGAAGCUGGAGGCAGAGAUGCUCCUACACUUGCUAUUAGCCAGUGACACAGCAGGAUGGCAGGGCAGCGGGGAGAGGGGAUCUGUGCAAAGCAGUCCUGUGUGAACAAAGAAAGGGGAUUUGUAAACUGCUGAAGUAUCCGUCAUGUGAGUUUUGUUUCCUUUUCAGUUCUAAUUGAGAUUUUUAAGGCAGCAGGAACACCACUUGCUGCUCAUGAUGCUGUAUUUCUGCUAUGCAGAACAAAGCCCCAACACACGACAGUCACAGUAAUGCACACCCGGCUGCAGAUUAAACAAGAGCCUCCCACACGCACAUCCCAUAUUUUAAGACAGUUGAAUCCCACCUUUUCCAUUAUGCUUGUGUUCACACUUAGGCCAUCAGGUCAAGUUUCCAGCCUGACAGCUGACCUCUGACCACGGUGUUAAUUUUUUCUUGUCAAUGUCAAAUAGGUAACCACAACCAGAACCCCACUCCAGGAACUACAACACCAGUUGCUUCAUCUGCACUAGCAGCCUUGAGAAGAUUACUAAUCCUUCCACCCGUGUGCAGCGUGACAUAUAGGUAGGAUGGUACAAAACCAAGGAGUUGACCCUGCUGGGGUUGUAUUUCAAGGAUUUCAGACCUUGUUAGUUCAAAGCUUAGUUUUCUCACAAGAAUUAACAUAUCUUAAAAGAGUGCCGUAACAAUUACGUUGAACAUGAGUACCUUUAGCGGCCACUGUAUCCAUUUGACUGAGCCCUCCCACUGUAUUGUAUAACCCAGCGUGCUCCCAUAGUUAUUAUUAAUGAGUGAUACAUUAAUAGAUUUACCAUAUAAUCACAGAUAAAGCAAGAGAGGAAAACUGUUACUAAGAAACACAUGAUAGCAAGUCUUAAAAUACUCUGGGAUAGGUUUGAACUACUUGCUAGCUAGGAAACUGCUGAAUCAUACCCGUAGGCUCAUACCGAAAAUAGUAUUUCACUUGGCAAAGCACAUACAAGCUAUCAGCGUUCCCUGCGGUGGGAAGUCUGCUGAAGAGCUGCAGAGGGUGAAGAAGUGUCCUCCUUGAAUACUUGGAAGAAAAAGAAUAGCAAGUUUGUUUUCUCCUACUGCAGCUCUUCCUUUCACAUUAAAUGUUAACAGAACAGGAAAGCCCCCAACACAUUUUCGAAGCAUUCUGAAUUUGAGACACCUUAAAAGAAACUGUACUUGCCUUUCUACACACAUGGCAUCGGUGGGUAGCAGGUAUUGCUCAUCCCUCUGUUGUAGUCCCCUCUGGUGGGGGGGCAGUGCUCUCAGUACAUAGUCUAUAAGCUAUUUCUU